AUGAGCAGGACUGAUAUAGGCGAUGAGAAUGAGUGUGAGGAGCUUGAGGAAAGCCAAGAGUAUGUGGAUGGUCUUUCAAGGAACAGGAAGAAGGUCGAUGUGGCUGCAGUGUACACAAGACAAGGCCAGUAUGCCCCUCCCCCAGGAGCCAGCAACAUUUGGGGGCUCGAGGCAUCCGGACACAUGGCAGAGCUGGGGCCUGGCUGCCAGGGACACUGUAGAUCGGGGACCCAGCCACGGUUCUGCCGCCUAGUGGGGGCCAAGCUCAGUAUGUCCCUGUCCCUGAAGGGCUCCCCAUGCCCAUCGUGGCAGGACUGGCCAUGCCCCAGGCUGCCGCCAUCCCAGAGGCCUGGCUCACCGCCUUCCAGCUGUUACAUCUCUUGGGAAUUGUUCAGCCUGGAGACCCUGUGAUAAUCCAUGCAGGAGCAAGUGAUGUGGGCACAGCUGCCAUCCAACUUACCUGGAUGGCUGGAGCUAUUCCUCUGGUCACAGCUGGCUCCCAGCACAAGCUUCAAAUGGCAGAAAAGCUUGGAGCAGCCGGAGAGGAGGUGGCCGGGGAUUCAGGGUACCUGGGACAUAAUAACUCUUCCUACGUGUGGGCAGCUAUUUUGCAGGCGCUGCAGUUCGUGUGGCAAUGGUCUAGGUCCCAGCUGGCACAGCAGGAAAUCUUUGCACACGUCCUGGACCGGUACAGCUAUUGCUCAUGA